rnacentral:lncRNA from 1 species
UUUCUCGGCAGCGCCGUAGAGCGCGAGCAGACGGUGCAGCAUGGCGCACAGCGGAGGCCGCGGGCGGCCGAACCCGGCGUGUCCUUGGGCGUUUCCAGGUGCGAAUCCUGCGGUCUGCUUAACCCCGUGUGUGCGGAGAGGGCUUCCUUGUUGGCGGCGUCCGUCUCUAGCCGGGUACGGGGGCCCCAUGGCUCCCGGGUUCGGUGUGGCCCUUGGCCCGCUGUGAGCGGCGGGGCGCGUUCCCAAUGGUCUCCAAAUCUUAACCGAGAUUAGUUAUAAGGCCUGCUCCUCUGGACGCUUCGAAGUGCGGGCACAAGCGGCCGCUUCUGGCGGCAGCUUUCAUCUGGGCCUGCACCCUGGCGGGAGCCCCUUUGUAUCCCCAAGAAAAGCCACCAUGCGGUCUGUUUCAGGCUUCCUAAGUGAGUAAUCCAUAGGAAAUUUUACAGAGGCGGAAAAGUACUGCUUCUAAGAUGUUAAGACCGCCAAUUUUAGGCUUUUUUUUUUUUUUGGCUUUUUUUUUUUUUAAAGAUUAAUAGUUUGAUCUGAAGUAUUGGCAUCACUCUAAAAAGCUUGUAUUCAUGGAUCAACCCUGUAAGUACGAUCUAAAGUUGGAGCAAAAUUUUCAAACUAUUUGAAAGCCACGCAGGGUGGGGAUGCUGGCAAAAGAAGGUGGUGGUGCAACAAAACCUGCUCAUUUGAAGGUGCUUGAACAAAUAUUUUCUAAACACUUGUCAUGGAGAGUGAUUGAAACAAGCUGCCAGGACUACAUUUGCCAAUAACAAGCAUGUAGGUGGCUGUAGUGGAUGUCCAACUUUGGGAGCUGUGAUGUCUAAAAACCCUUUAUUGUUUUGGGUGCAGCUUACAUAUUGGAAGGUAAAAUGAAGGCCAUGAACAAAGUCAAGAAGCCAUAAACAGAAGCAAAUGGUGAAAAUUAAUAUCUAAUUUAAUAUUAAUAAGUUAUAUAUAAAUAAACAGUUAUUCUUAA